ACCAUCUCCUAAGGCUAAAUACUCUCUAGUGACCGAUAGUGAACCAGUACCGUGAGGGAAAGGUGAAAAGCACCCCGGAAGGGGAGUGAAAUAGAACCUGAAACCGUGUGCUUACAAGUAGUCAGAGCCCGUUAAUGGGUGAUGGCGUGCCUUUUGUAGAAUGAACCGGCGAGUUACGAUUUGAUGCAAGGUUAAGCAGUAAAUGUGGAGCCGUAGCGAAAGCGAGUCUGAAUAGGGCGUUUAGUAUUUGGUCGUAGACCCGAAACCAGGUGAUCUACCCUUGGUCAGGUUGAAGUUCAGGUAACACUGAAUGGAGGACCGAACCGACUUACGUUGAAAAGUGAGCGGAUGAACUGAGGGUAGCGGAGAAAUUCCAAUCGAACCUGGAGAUAGCUGGUUCUCUCCGAAAUAGCUUUAGGGCUAGCCUCAAGUGAUGAUUAUUGGAGGUAGAGCACUGUUUGGACGAGGGGCCCCUCUCGGGUUACCGAAUUCAGACAAACUCCGAAUGCCAAUUAAUUUAACUUGGGAGUCAGAACAUGGGUGAUAAGGUCCGUGUUCGAAAGGGAAACAGCCCAGACCACCAGCUAAGGUCCCAAAAUAUAUGUUAAGUGGAAAAGGAUGUGGCGUUGCCCAGACAACUAGGAUGUUGGCUUAGAAGCAGCCAUCAUUUAAAGAGUGCGUAAUAGCUCACUAGUCGAGUGACACUGCGCCGAAAAUGUACCGGGGCUAAACAUAUUACCGAAGCUGUGGAUUGUCCUUUGGACAAUGGUAGGAGAGCGUUCUAAGGGCGUUGAAGCAUGAUCGUAAGGACAUGUGGAGCGCUUAGAAGUGAGAAUGCCGGUGUGAGUAGCGAAAGACGGGUGAGAAUCCCGUCCACCGAUUGACUAAGGUUUCCAGAGGAAGGCUCGUCCGCUCUGGGUUAGUCGGGUCCUAAGCUGAGGCCGACAGGCGUAGGCGAUGGAUAACAGGUUGAUA
rnacentral:rRNA from 1 species